CCCAGACUCCUACGGGAGGCAGCAGUGGGGAAUAUUGCACAAUGGGGGAAACCCUGAUGCAGCGACGCCGCGUGGGUGAAGAAGUAUUUCGGUAUGUAAAGCCCUAUCAGCAGGGAAGAGGAUGACAGUACCUGACUAAGAAGCCCCGGCUAACUACGUGCCAGCAGCCGCGGUAAUACGUAGGGGGCAAGCGUUAUCCGGAUUUACUGGGUGUAAAGGGAGCGUAGGUGGCAAGGCAAGCCAGAAGUGAAACCCCGGGGCUUAACCCCGCGGAUUGCUUUUGGAACUGUCUGGCUGGAGUGCAGGAGGGGCAGGCGGAAUUCCUGGUGUAGCGGUGAAAUGCGUAGAUAUCAGGAGGAACACCGGCGGCGAAGGCGGCCUGCUGGACCGCGACUGACGUUGAGGCUCGAAAGCGUGGGGAGCGAACAGGAUUAGAUACCCCCGUAGUC
rnacentral:rRNA from 1 species